GCGCGCUCCAGCCAGUGUCCUUCUCAGGCCGCAGGGCGGCGAGGGCCGGCCGGAAGAGCCGAGGCGAUUCUGGGGAACGAGCGUAGGGCUGCAACGACGGCGACGGGCCAGUGCCCGCGGUGGACGUGCGGGACGGAGAGCGCAGGGCACAAGUGAGGCGCAGAAAAGGCACGUUUGAAAAGGAUGACAACAAGUUCUGCAGCCGCAGAGCGCGGCCCGGCGCGAACAGUGGCCUCCUGGCCUUGCCCCUCGCCGCCGCAGUGCUCCCCGAGCUCAAAGGAGCCCGCGCGCCAGUGCACAGGGGCAGCUAAGAGGCCCGGGAGCCGCGCGAGCGGCAGUUUCGCGGGGUCCCGCUAGAUCCCGCCCACCGGUGCCCGCCCCGCCUCAGUCAGCGUAGGCCCCGCCCACAGAGGGCUCGCCCCGCCCAAUUCAACGUAGGCUCCGCCUCAGCAGCAUAGGCGCCGCCCACAGGGGCCCGCCCCGAGGCUCCAGCUGCUCCAAUGGGCCUUUAUUUUAUUUUUUCAUUUGGCUUGAUCGAUACGAUCAAUAAACCACGUGAGGAAACCUCUGGGUUACGGCCAGUGUCAAGUGAUUUCUGUCGCCUCGCUAAUAGCUCCGGAGAGAUGAGUUUACCAAGGGAAGGUUAACUCCGAUUUACGUCCUACUUCCAGUGUCUGUCUCAAACCUAUUGUAGACCCUGAUGACAGGCAUCGAAAUUGAAGAAAUACAUGACGCAGAAAGACUAGGAGUGAACGGAUUUCAUGUGUGAGAAGCGAUGAUUAAGUUCCUGGGUUAUAACUGGGCACUUUCUCUUAGGCCCGGGUUUUGCUCUUGAAAGUUGCCAGGUAAAGCAUUUUUGGUUAUUCUGUGCUGCUCACGAUGGGAAAAGCUGAAAGAAGAAAAAGAUCUAAAGUGAGGAGUGUCGUUGGAGGUCCUGAAAGUUCUACCUGCAGGAAACACCCAGAAGUCACCGCCACAAGGCCCAGAGCACCCAGAAAGCUUGGUCAGACGAAGGAAGGCCUCUCGCUUGGCCCUGGAAGAGUGCUGAUAAAUGCCACAUGCCAGCCAGUCCCCACCAGCUGGGAAGAAACACCACCAAUGCCACAGCUCACGCCUGGAAUACGUCACGGAAACCCAAAGAUGACAUCUGCCAACGUCCGCAGACAUUUUG